UACGUAGGCAGCAAGCGUUGUUCGGAGUUACUGGGCGUAAAGGGUGCGUAGGUGGCUCUAUAAGUAUGGUGUGAAAUCUCCCGGCUUAACUGGGAGGGUGCGCUAUAGACUGUGGGACUAGAGUGUGGGAGAGGAAAGUGGAAUUCCUGGUGUAGCGGUGAAAUGCGUAGAUAUCAGGAGGAACACCGGUGGUGUAAACGGCUUUCUGGACCAUAACUGACGCUGAGGCACGAAAGCGUGGGUAGCAAACAGG
rnacentral:rRNA from 1 species